UUCGGCAGCACAUAUACUUAAAAAAAAAAAAAAAUGGAACGAUACAGAGAAGAUUAGCAUGGCUCCUGUGCAAGGAUGACACACAAUUUUUUGAACUCACUUCAUAACU